rnacentral:lncRNA from 1 species
CUAGUGGCUAUAAAUAUCGAGUAAGAAACUCAUGGGUGAAGUUGUCAUUGGAUCCAUUAAUCAAGAUUCAAAGGAUGCCUUUAAAAGAGAGAUAUACUUGAUUUUACAUCUUGUUAAGAGUUAAAAACAUCGUGACCAAACACACGUGAGCAGAACAUGCUUCUCUCGCCCUAAAAUGGUUCUUCGAGGAAAAUUAUUCCCGACGAGAUAGUGUGGCUGGUCGCGUAAGUAGAGUUGGCUUGAGGACGCAUGAGAAGAGACCAUAAUCAAGUAAGAUCAAAGACUUGGUCAAAGGUCAACCCAUGGAUUUCCUCCAAAGAAUUUGGGCACGGAACCCACACAACAUCAGUUACGUUGCCCGCUCACCCACGAUUAUGUAAUCGACCCAAUAAUGGUUGCAGAAGAGAGGAGGCUGAUAGUUUCGGUUGGAUAUAAAAAAUCCAAUGAACGGAAGAAAAGGGGUUAGAUAACUUUUCACUUAAUUCUGGUAUACUCUUUUUCUAUAUUGAUAAAUUCUUCUUAUCUAUCUUUUUUUUUUUCAGAAAUUAAGCUUUUUAAAUUAAAGUAAUUGUAAUUAAGCCACGUUAAUUGUAGCACUAAUUCUUUUUGUUUACAAAAAAAAACUCGAUUAUUGACUUGGUUGAAUCUAACUGCUCGAGUAGAAAAGUUGCAGUGUUGAGCCGUCACCCCAACAAAGAAAUUCAAGUGUUGGCGUGGAUACCUAGUUGUAACUCUACCGACCAAAUUUUUGUAUCAACUCAUCUUAGUAUUUGAACAUGAGUUUGAGAAUAUGUUCAUAAAAUAACAAAAAAAAAAAAAAAGUGACUAAUACUAGUAUUUUUGGAGUGUAUAGAGACAGAAAUUGAUUUUUUUUUAAUUAAAAAAAGAAUUUUUCAAAAUUUGCAACAUUGCUUUCUGAAUCGCUUUCUUAGAGUAAUAGUAGAUUUUGAAUGAUCAGUUUCUUACUCUUCAAAUCUUAUUCCUAAAUUUUCUAAUAUGGUAAACAAACAAUAAUACCUUGUGAAAAAAGAAGAAGAAGUUGAAAAUGAAUUGCACAAUGCACAAAUAGCGUGAUUCUUUAACUCAUUAUGAAGUGACAUUAAAUAAUAAAAUAUACCUUUUUUUUUUUUCAAAUAAAAAAAUGCUUCCUCAAAAAUCCUUUAAAAUUAAUCUUUCAAAGCAUGAUGAAAGAGACCCUUUUCAAUAGAAUGGGAUAUGUACAUGUAGGGUUGGUUGGGGUCAUAAAAUACGGUUCACCACACCAGCGCAAGCAAAGACAUUCUCUGAAAUGGCAACUCUGGUCUCUUCCCAUUUCAUGUUUCUUCGGCUAAUGAUUUGAACAUGGGAGCAAGAAGUGGGGCCACGUUUGAUCAAAAUUGGAGUGUUGAUCAGAUCAACUAUCAUGUGGACUCCAGCUGGCAAAAGCAUCCUCGCCCUUUGAUGCUGUCGCACAUUCUCUUCGCUUGGGCUCGGGCCGGGGUCGGGUCCCUUUCCCUCACCCUCUCUCCAGUAGUCUCCUCCCUCAUCUUUAUCCGCAACUUGUCCACGUCAUGCGCCCACCACCUUAUAAUCCGUCCGUGUCAGGCUCUGUUCAUGUCGGGACCCACCCACCUCCUCAGUCUUUAAAUUGCGGCCUUGUUUCGGGUUUUAUCGUGAUAUCGCCUCAUGUCGGUUGGAUUGGAGCUAAAGUUACUUCGAAUUUAGGGUUUCCAAAUAAAUCUGUGGACGUUUUUUAGAUUAAUAAGAUUAGUUAAUUAUAUCCAAUAAUCAUAUGCGGUACAGUUUUAAAAUUACUAAUAAAUAAUGUCGAC